rnacentral:tRNA from 1 species
GGGCCUGUAGCUCAAUGGUAGAGCCCCCGGCUCAUAACCGGGCCGUUCCAGGUUCGAGUCCUGGCGGGCCCA